AACAACCACCUUGGAAGUACUUGAGGGUCAAAAUUCUGGAACGGACGAUCUGUCACCAGGAGGUGCAAUUUGUGCAUUCUGUGAAGACACUGAAUGAUGCUCAGAAAUUGGCUGCGGACAAGGCACAUCAGUCUCCAGCAAAGGUUCGGGUGUGGAAUUUAGUCACCAAACAGUGGGAAGGUCCCUAUGACCUUAUCGCUUUGGGACGCGGGUAUGCUUGUGUAUCCACAGAUACUGGGGUACGCUGGGUACCUUCGAAAUGUGUUAGCCCUGACCUGCGACCGCAGAGACAGAAUCCAGUUGAUGAGCAAGACUGAAACCGUGACCAACCUGAAAGGGAUCAAGCGGGCAGAUCAUUGAGUGAUGACUCGGAUGCAGAUGAUGAGAGCGAUCACUCCGAUGAUUCCUCCACAAAUGGACACUGAACAUUGUUCAUGUUUUCUUUUUCACAUUGUUCAUUUUCUUUUCUCUUUUUCUUUUUUAAACGGAAAAGGGUGAGAUGUCACCCUGUUUUUUUAAGAUUUUCUAAGCCUUCUGAUGUUGACAUUCUUGUAGUGAACUUUCUCACACACUUUCUGUAAAUAACUCAUUGUUUUGCAUUCCUUUAUGGAGGAGGAGAGAGUUGAUGGACUGUUGGUUUGACCAGUGUCAUUGGAGAGGUGUCACUGUCACCCUCCAAUCCGCUGUCACCUUUGGAAAACUAUAAAUGUUGGAGUCAGAAAAUAAACUUCCCUUUUUUCUUCA